rnacentral:rRNA from 1 species
UACGGAGGGUGCAAGCGUUAUCCGGAUUCACUGGGUUUAAAGGGUGCGUAGGUGGGCAGGUAAGUCCGUGGUGAAAUCUCUGAGCUUAACUCAGAAACUGCCGUGGAUACUAUUUGUCUUGAAUGUUGUGGAGGUGAGCGGAAUAUGUCAUGUAGCGGUGAAAAUGCUUAGAUAUGACAAUAGAACACCAAUUGCGAAAGGCAGCUUACUACACAACGAUUGACGCUGAGCACGAAAAGCGUGGGGAUCAAACAGG